rnacentral:lncRNA from 1 species
GCGACAGGUUUAGGAUGUCUUAGCUAAGAUCACCAUAAGACAGCUUUGUGACGAGGUCUGAGAUAUGUCUUAGGAUAGUUAUAAGAGGAUCAUAAGACAUGUCUUAGGAUAGCUUCGUGAAACCGGUCCAGGUUAAUAAUUAAAAAAACUUGAUUUAUUUUCCAGCCUAUCACACAAUAUUAUAUAAGUUAACUUUUAAAAUAUAUUAUAUGCCAAAUAUAGUUUUAUAAUUAUACUGUUUUUGUUUCGUCUUUUUGUCGGUCAUCCUUAUACAUGUAAGCAUCUUUCGUUCUUUUUUGUGGUUGAUUUUGCUCUGUGUUAUACUAUUCCCAUUUUAAUGACUGACUAAAUCAGAGGCUGAGCAUUAAUUUAAAUAAUUUUACUUAUUUAUAUGAAUUUUCUGUUGUAAAAUAGUAAGAUUUUCUCAAAUAAAGAGAAAAGAGGAGGAGGGCAAGUUGUAGAAACAAUAAACCUGUAAUAUAAGUUUUGAAUAUGCGUUAGAUAAUUGUAUGAGCAUGUCAGAUGAACAAUUAAUUACUUCACGAAAUGCGCCAGUUUGGGUUAUACAAUCUUUUAAUCAAUUAUUAUUAUAAUACAUUUAUACUAUUGGUA